rnacentral:rRNA from 1 species
UACGGAGGAUGCGAGCGUUAUCCGGAUUUAUUGGGUUUAAAGGGUGCGCAGGCGGUCUGUUAAGUCAGCGGUCAAAGCCCGGGGCUCAACCCCGGCGAGCCGUUGAAACUGCCGUGCUAGAGAGGAAGAGAAGUAGGCGGAAUGCGCAGUGUAGCGGUGAAAUGCUUAGAUAUCACGAAGAACCCCGAUUGCGAAGGCAGCCUGCCGCAGCGUUACUGACGCUGAAGCUCGAAAGCGUGGGUAUCGAACAGG